GCUGUAGCUCAGAGGGAGAGCAUCUGCUUGGGAUGCAGAACGUCCCGGGUUCGAUCCCCAGCGUCUCCA